rnacentral:rRNA from 1 species
UACGGGGGGGGCAAGCGUCGUUCGGAAUUACUGGGCGUAAAGGGCUCGUAGGCGGCCAACUAAGUCCGACGUGAAAUCCCCAGGCUUAACCUGGGAACUGCGUCGGAUACUGGAUGGCUUGAAUUCGGGAGAGGGAUGCAGAAUUCCAGGUGUAGCGGUGAAAUGCGUAGAUAUCUGGAGGAAUACCGGUGGCGAAGGCGGCAUCCUGGACCGACAUUGACGCUGAUGAGCGAAAGCUAGGGGAGCAAACGGG